GGCGCCAAAGUUUGCUCGGCGCAGGUAGGUUGUCUCCCGAGCAGCUGCUGAGGCGUUCACCUGUCGGUGCGUUCGUGUACCACGUGUUUGUCAGCUAGUUCAGACUCAACACUGACACCCGUACGUCUUGUUUCCCACCGUACAGUCGAUGUCUCCUCCGCACGCACUGGUCGGCCGCCAUUGUUUUCGUUUGAAAAGCUAGAGGCCUAGUUUGGUUUCGAAUCUUUUCCCUCAUUCGGAGUCCUGAGACAUUUCUUUCGUCCAGGUGGUCAAAGGAUUCUUGAGACUCUGAUAAAGACACUUCAAAACAGUGGAUCCUCGGAAGUGCGGCGAGAGAAGCUGUGAUGCGUGUCAUCCUACAGGAAGGAGGCUUUUCGCUACCCGCUGCGUUUGAGGACAACAAAACAAACUGGCCAAAGCAGGAAUAGAAAAGAAGGUUAAGCAGAAAAGAUGAUUGUCGGCCAACGAGGGUGAGUCAAAGAGACAGAGGAAUUCCUGGCUGCGUUGUAGAAACAAUGCAAGCAUCGUUUUGCUUCAUUGACUGUUGGGGGAAAAGGGGAAGGAAAACAAAGAAUCAUUCUGAGAAAACAUCUCUCCUCUGCAUUUCCCUCUCCCUUUCCUUUGCUUCUGAAGUUUGGUCUCACAGAAUGAUGGAUGAGGAACUUGCACUGUGGCCUCCGAUGUC